CGUAAAGAGUUGCGUAGGUGGCAUAGAAAGCGAGUAGUGAAAGCGUGUGGCUCAACCAUACAUCCAUUACUUGAACUACUAAGCUAGAGUAUGAGAGAGGUAGAUGGAAUUCCCUGUGUAGGAGUGAAAUCCGUAGAUAUAGGGAGGAACACCGAUGGCGUAAGCAGUCUACUGGCUCAUUACUGACACUAAGGCACGAAAGCGUGGGGAGCAAACGGGAUUAGAUACCCCCGGUAGUCCACGCCGUAAACUAUGGAUGCUAGCUGUUAGAGGUAUCGACCCCUCUAGUAGCGAAGCUAACGCGUUAAGCAUCCCGCCUGUGGAGUACGGUCGCAAGACUAAAACAUAAAGGAAUUGACGGGGAGCCGCACAAGCGGUGGAGUGUGUUGUUUAAUUCGAUGGUAAGCGAAGAACCUUACCCAGGCUUGACAUCCUUGGAAGUUCUGUGAAAGCAGAGUGUGCCUUCGGGAACCAAGUGACAGGUGUUGCAUGGCCGUCGUCAGCUCGUGUCGUGAGAUGUUAGGUUAAGUCCUUCAACGAGCGCAACCCUUAUAGUUAGUUGUAUUUUUCUAGCUAGACUGCCCUGGCAACAGGGAGGAAGGAGGGGAUGAUGUCAGGUCAGUAUUACCCUUACGUCUGGGGCUACAAACACACUACAAUGGCCAGUACAAUGGGCAGCCAAGUCGUGAGACGGAGCAAAUCCCAUCAAAGCUGGUCCCAGUUCGGAUUGCAGGCUGAAACUCGCCUGCAUGAAGUUGGAAUCGCUAGUAAUGGUAGGUCAGCAUACUACCGUGAAUACGUUCCCGGCUCUUGUACACACCGCCCGUCAAACCAUGAAAGUCGCCAAUACCUGACGUGUUAGCUUGUCUAGCCCUAAGGUAGGGGAGAUGAUUGGGGUUAAGUCGUAACAAGGUA
rnacentral:rRNA from 1 species